UGAGCAUGUUGAUCUCUUUGUGCC
rnacentral:piRNA from 2 species